GUGACGUGUUUCUCCAAUUUCAUAUUUAAACCUUCAAAAGAUCAGGUGGAAUCAUUUAUUGUGGCAUUUGUUGAACCAAAGAUGGUGAUAUGCUACCCUGGUGUGGAAACUAAAACAUCUGUUACCAAACAGCAUGGAGAAUCAGUCAACCUUGCAUGUAAUUUCACAGUAGCCAAAGGUUACUCUAGCUUUCCAUUUUCAGUGUAUUGGAUCAAAACCAUCAGUGGCAACAGUAGCACAUGUCUUUAUUCUAAUUCUUAUGAUAGUGAUGCACAAUUAUAUGACCACCAUUGUCUCAUUGAUGAGGCCCUGCUGAAACGAAGGUCAAACACUUCAUCUAAACCCCUAACAAGCCCUAUCUUUCAUAACCUUAAGAUCAGCAAUGCCACAUAUUCAGACAGCGGACAGUAUGUUUGUGCCUUACAGGUGCUUAAGAAUAGAAAAGGGCACUGGAAGGUAAUAACUAAUGUCACAGUCACUGUGAAUGGAGAAUUCAACAACCACCCCAACAGGAAUGACACAGCCCUGUUAUAUACUCCUGGGGAUCCUUACAUACCACUGUAUGUAGCGGGAGCCUUGUUCUUCUCCUGCCUGUUUGUUACUGCCAUUGUCAUUGUCAUGAUGAAAAAUACCAAGAUUUCGCAAGCAGAAUCUCACACUCUGAGAAUGAAAAGAGAACAAGAUGGAGAGGAGACAAUUAACUCAGACUGCUCCCCAUAUGCUGAGGGCAGAGGAGAGGAUGAGGGGCUCUUCUCACUUCUGAAGCUGACUGAAGUGAGAGAUCCUGUGACUGCACAGAAUGGAGCUGAAGAACAUGCUGCUGUUGCUGUCGAGCCCAAUUCUGUAGUCAUGCUCAAUACUGAGUAUGAGGCCUUUGACCUCCAGGCCACUCAGACAUCAUCAACCUACCCCCUCAGGAUUGGAGCGAAAGUAUGAGUUACUAGCAGCCAAUAGUUACUCAUAUGAUGUAGAAAAGUGAGCUAAAGAUAAUGUUUUCAUGAUUGGUCUUUCAUAUUCGAUUUAGACCAGGAUUGGCGCGGGGCAGCCAGGGGUUUGUUUGGCCGGUGGGAGGGGUUGAGUGUUGGUUAAAAAAACAUUUCUGAUUCUUAUUGAUUGUACAGGUUGUGACUCAAUAAAAAACUUAGCCCACAAAAAUGAAGUUACAUUAAAGAGAGAACGAGGAUUUACUUUAUUUUUGAAUUGAAUGUUUUUGUGUUCAUUCAAGCUCUACUGAACAUUUCCACUAGAUGGUGCUAGUGCUCAGUCCUACAUUUGUGCUUACUGUUUCUCGGAUAUUGUGUCAUGUGUGAUUACCUAAUUAUUGUGUAACAUUGAAUAAACAUUGCAGAAAUAAA
ensembl:lncRNA